UACAGAGGGUGCGAGCGUUAAUCGGAAUUACUGGGCGUAAAGCGCGCGUAGGCGGCUUUUCAAGUCGAUUGUGAAAUCCCCGGGCUCAACCUGGGAACUGCAGUCGAGACUGUCUAGCUAGAGUAUGGGAGAGGGAAGUGGAGUUUCAGGUGUAGCGGUGAAAUGCGUAGAUAUCUGAAGGAACAUCAGUGGCGAAAGCGACUUCCUGGACCAAUACUGACGCUCAUGUGCGAAAGCGUGGGGAGCAAACAAG
rnacentral:rRNA from 1 species